CUCUGAGGGAUUUAGGGGUAAAGGGCCAUGGUGUACGCAACUUGCUUGCAAAGGAGACAAAUAUAUUUUUUCUAUGUUAUGCAUACAUGUAUAUGUGUAUGUAUGGAAAGAGAGAGCAAAUGAUAAAGCCAAUGGAAUAAAAUGUCCACAACAGGUGAUUCUGGAUAAAGGGUAUUUGUUGUGCUUCUCAAUAUUUUUACUAUUGCAAUUUUUCUGUAAUUUGAAAUGAGUUCCACACUAGAAGUUUAACAAAUAUACACCUUACAGUUUGAAAUUAUGUUUUAAAGAAAAGUUGGAAAGCGGAGAGACAAAAGGGGGAAAAAAACAGGUAAAAAAUUAAUUUCGGGAAAAUAAUUAUCCACACAUCUAGGUGGCUUCUUCCCAUCUUCUGAGACAGGUCAGCAUCAUAGAUGCCUACUGUACUCCAGUCCUCAGCCUCAUUCUUAUCUCUCCAGUCUUCCUGAUCAGGAAAUAGCUUCAAAGGUCAGCCAGGUUGGCUCAAAAAAUCCACAGACAAAAUGGGUGAAAAUGAGUAUCUUGGAAAUGGUGUGUUGCAUCCUCUUGGUCCUGAGCACUCUGCCUCCUCGUGCUGCUCCUGGAGCCACCACUGAAUCAGAGACUUGCUCUGUUGCCCAGGCUGGAGUGCCAUGGUGUGAUCCUGGCUCACUGCAACCUCUGCCUCCCGAGUUCAAGUGAUUCUCCUACCUCAGCCUCCCAAGUCACCGGGCUAAAGGUGCCCACCACCACGCCUGGCUAAUUGUUGUGUUUUUAGUAGAAACGAGGUUUACCAAGGCUGGUCUCAAACUCCUGACCUCAGGUGAUCCGCCCGCUUCAGACUCCCAAAGUGCUGGAAUUACAGGAGACACGUAUAUAGUGACGCCACUAUCCAAAGACAUCUUCAAUGAUGCAGCAUCAUUAAUUCAAUGUUUUCUUUUUUUAAAAAAACUUUUGAGUCAACGUAACUUUUUCCCUGACUGUUUUGUUCCUUGAUGUUCUUGCCUUUACCUGGUGUCAAAACCCAUCUGUGAGCACAGUUAGAUAAGGCUUCUCAUUGUUCUCAGGGUGCAUAAAAUCCCUCUCCCUCCCUUCCUUCUCUCCCUCUCCCUGUGCCUUUCUCUGGCUCUCUCUUUUUCUGCCUACCUCAUCUCUACCCUUCCUCCUUCCAGAAGCUUUCAAAUACAAAUUGAGAAAGAAGAAAACUCCCCAAAUAAAACUAUACAAGCAAA
rnacentral:lncRNA from 10 species